rfam:Heligmosomoides polygyrus genome assembly, scaffold: HPBE_scaffold0000374
GCGCCGGUGGUGUAAAGGCGUAGAGCAUUUCCGCCCGGUCAGAGGAAGGUGCGGGUUCGAGUCCCGCCUGGCGCU